UGUGGAGAUUGUCUCAGUGUUUUCUAGCCAGAUUGAAGGCUUCUAUAUUGGAUGUAAAACAAGGUAUUUCACUGACCUCUGGAGAUUGAUUCUUUGAAAUGUGUUUGUCAUAAGCACAUUCACAUCAUAGGCAUCAUGCAGUUAUCCCUUCAAGGGAUUACAAUUUAUACAAAUUAUGGAGUUGUGGAAUCAUAGAAUAUCUGAGUUCAGGAAGGUCAGUGGGAUGAAAUUUGGUUUGGAGGCAUCAAAAAAAAAAAAAAA